rnacentral:rRNA from 1 species
CCCCUAGUAACUGCGAGUGAAGCGGGAAAAGCUCAAAUUUAAAAUCUGGCAGUCUUUGAUUGUCCGAGUUGUAAUCUAGAGAAGUGUUAUCCGCGUUGGACGGUGUACAAGUCUCCUGGAAUGGAGCAUCAUAGAGGGUGAGAAUCCCGUCUUUGACACGGACAACCAGUGCUUUGUGAUGCGCUCUCAAAGAGUCGAGUUGUUUGGGAAUGCAGCUCAAAAUGGGUGGUAAAUUCCAUCUAAAGCUAAAUAUUGGCGAGAGACCGAUAGCGAACAAGUACCGUGAGGGAAAGAUGAAAAGAACUUUGGAAAGAGAGUUAAACAGUACGUGAAAUUGCUGAAAGGGAAACGCUUGAAGUCAGUCGCGUUGGCUGGAAAUCAACCUUGCUUUUGCUGGGCGUACUUUCUAGUCAAUGGGUCAGCAUCAAUUUUGACCAUUGGAAAAAGUGUAGAGGAAUGUGGCAUCUUCGAAUGUGUUAUAGCCUUUGCUCGCAUACAGUGGUUGGGAUUGAGUAAUUCAGCAGGGAAAAAA